rnacentral:rRNA from 1 species
GACAGAGGGUGCAAACGUUGUUCGGAAUUACUGGGCGUAAAGCGCGUGUAGGCGGUCUGUCGCGUCUGCUGUGAAAACUCAGGGCUUAACCCUGAGCUUGCAGUGGGUACGGGCAGACUAGAGUGCGGUAGGGGUGACUGGAAUUCCUGGUGUAGCGGUGGAAUGCGCAGAUAUCAGGAGGAACACCGAUGGCGAAGGCAGGUCACUGGGACGUUACUGACACUGAGGCGCGAAAGCGUGGGGAGCGAACAGG